AUUGAACGCUGGCGGCAGGCCUAACACAUGCAAGUCGAGCGGAGCGGCGGACGGGUGAGUAAUGCCUAGGAAUCUGCCUGGUAGUGGGGGAUAACGUCCGGAAACGGGCGCUAAUACCGCAUACUAUCAGAUGAGCCUAGGUCGGAUUAGCUAGUUGGUGGGGUAAAGGCCUACCAAGGCGACGAUCCGUAACUGGUCUGAGAGGAUGAUCAGGCAAACGUGAACUGAGCUACGUGCCAGACUCCUCCGGGAGGCGGCAGGGGGAACUAUGGGACAAUGGGCGAAGGCCGACUCCAGCCAUGCCGCGUGUUUGAAGAAGGUCUUCGGAUUGUAAAGUCCUUUAAGUUGGGAGGCGUUACCAACAUAAUAAGCACCGGCUAACUUCGUGCCAGCAGCCGCGGUAAUAC
rnacentral:rRNA from 1 species